rnacentral:lncRNA from 1 species
CUCUCUCUCUCCUUCAUCUUCUUUCCUUCCUUUAAGGUAGUGCAAAGGCCCUCCCUGUUUCUUUUCUUUCCUAGCAUUGGGAUCAGGAUGUUUGCUAGCCCUUCUCAGUAGUGGGCUUGCCACUGGAAGCCCCUCUUCCUUCCCUCUCUCUCAACUUCUCAUAUUUUGGAUGCCGGAUGCUGGUUGCCUUCUCUGUGCUUCUCUCCCUUUUUCCAAUGCUAAUGGUGUUGUGGCCGGCACCCACUCUUCCCCGAUUGUCAGAUUUCUGCUUCUUUUUUGGUGCCGUGCCUAGACGAGGCAUGAAAAUCCUUCUCAUUUCUCUCUCCUCUCUU